GUUAGUUGGCGGUGAUUGGUGGUAAAAGCCAAUUUUCAUUUUUUUUAUGUGGUGAUAAAAUAAAACUUUUUUAUGGAGGUGGUAUAAGCAAUUAAGUUUUUUUUUUAGAGGUGGUAAAAAUAAAAAAUUCCUUUAUUUUUAACCAAACCACUCGACUACUCCCUUAUUCCUAUUUCCCAAAACGAGGCACGAACCACCAACCACGCGAUCACGAGUCACGGACUGCAGCGAGCAUCUUCGGCAAAUAUUUGCUAAGAAAUUAACAUCACAAGAUAAUAUGACAUUCGAAUCCCCCUUGUAACAUCACUCCUUUUUUUGGGGGGGUGUUUUAUUUCAACCAUACCACUCGACUACUCCCUUAUUCCUAUUUCCCAACCAAACCCAAAUUACUUGUAUUGUGUACCCGUUUUUUUUAAAUAGGUUGAUGUUAGUUGAAUUAUCGAAAUUAUCCCCCAUUGUCAAAUUUCUAGGUCCGCCAAUAUUUUCUGAAAUUUGCUCAACUUAUUUAUCAAUAUUAGAAAUGGAGAUAAAGAUGCCCCUGUCUUACACCUGGUUUAUGACAUGUGGGAUUCAAUGAUUGAAAAAGUUAAGAUUCUUGUGUUUGAACAUGAAAGGAAAGAUAUUCAAUCUGGAACUUCUGCUUUUUUCGAUGCUAUCCAGGGGGUAUUAGUGAGUCGAUAGAAUAAGAGAAACACUCCUUUACAUUGCCUUUCCCACUCUAUAAUUCCAAGGUAUUACAACACAAAUUGGUUAAAGGGAAAUAUAGCCGGGUUUCCAAGGGUUGCUCAAAAUGAAGAUGUAGAAGUUUCUAAUCAUAGGAAUGAAUGUUUUCGACGCCUUUUUCCUAAUCCAGAUGACUUCAAGCAUGUAAGAUUAGAAUAUGGGGCAUUUUCAAGUGAAGUGUAUCCUUUCAAUAAAGCCCAUGUAGUUUCAGCCCGAGAUGAAGAAGAAUUAAUUAUAUGGCGGACAAAUUAUGGUUCUUCCAUACCUCAUUUGCAAUCUCUUGCCCUUUAGCUAUUGUCACAACCUAUAUCAUCUUCUUGUUGUGAACGAAACUGGAGCCACUACAGCAACAUCCACACACUAAAGAGAAAUAGAUUGAAAUCUGAAAGGGCAAGGGAUUUAGUCUAUUGCCAUAAUAUCCUUCGUCAACAAUCAAGGAAGGAGGAUAGUUACAAAUCUGGCCAAAGUCGUCACUGGGACCUUGGUGGAGAUAAUUUUGAUGUGGAUGCGGAUAUUUGUGAGAUAGCUGACCUAUCAAUCAGCGAACCAGAGUUGGAUAGAGCUAUUAUGGUAUUGGAGGAGAAGAUGAAUGAUUUAAUGAAGAUAAGAGAAUGUUAGAAUUUUGUAAUUUCUAUUAAGCUACCUGUUGAAGAACCAAAUCAAAGAAUGUUAUUUUGUGAUGUUUUUUUUUCCCAAACAAUCUGAUCUUAUCGUUAAGCACUUAAGUAGUUUUUAAUAUUUUUUUUAGUCAA